GAGGACUACUGACGACCUGGAUAACGAUACGCUGCUCCACACUUUCGAGCAGCGUUUGACUGCCGCGCUUGUGCCAAUCUCAUAUCAUUGUGUUGUAUCAUUCCACCGCUUGUCAUGCUUCUUCUUUGCUCUCACCUGACGCUCGAUCAAGGCUCUCACAGGCUGCAGUGAAUAACAACGGAAUCACUGGUGCAUCAAUCCUCAGGUUCUGAGUCUAAUCAGUUGCACCAAAUCAGGGAUGUGCCUUGGGAGUGAGUAUUUAAUUUCAUGGUCUUGAACAUGGCCAGAGGAUUUGAUCUUGCAAAGAAGAGAGAAACAAAUAAAUACCCCAACCUCCACUCUUGACAUUUCCAGAUGCCUCUCAACUCUGCUCUUCAAGAGGGUGGUUGGAUCAAAUCAAACUUGCUCAUUUUCCAGAAA